UACGUAGGUGGCAAGCGUUGUCCGGAUUUAUUGGGUUUAAAGGGUGCGUAGGCGGCUUAUUAAGUCAGUGGUGAAAUACUCUAGCUCAACUUGAGGGGUGCCAUUGAUACUGAUGAGCUUGAGUACAGAUGAGGUAGGCGGAAUUGACGGUGUAGCGGUGAAAUGCUUAGAUAUCGUCAAGAACACCUAUAGCGAAGGCAGCUUACUAGGCUGUAACUGACGCUGAGGCACGAAAGUGUGAGGAUCAAACAGG
rnacentral:rRNA from 1 species